UUAAAAUCCAUGAUAUAAAAGCGUCUGCAUGUCAAAAGGUUUAAUACACUCAGUAAGGUUUUCAAAUAGCGACAAGAACACUUUUAAAACAUGGCAUCGCAAGAAGAGAUUAUUUGUUUACAGAUUCAUUUAUAUGGUCAACUUUUUAUCUACUUUUGUGGAGUAAUCGCGCAUUUAUUACUUCUAUAUGCUUUUGUAAAAGAUCCUUUAAAAUGUUUCAAAAAUAUACGAACAUGUUUUGUGAUUAAUCUCGCAAUUGCCGAAUUUCUGUAUUGUUUAGUCACACCAAUUCAGAUAUACAUUCAAUUAGGCUGGUACUUGGAUUUCGUGCUUUUGUCUCUUGGAAACUUGGCCUUACUGACAGUUCUGUCCAUUGCAUUUGAUCGCCUUUUAAUGAUUGUGUAUCCUCUUAAACACCGUUACUGGAUAAGAGGGAAGAUGAUAGCGAUAUGGUUGACAUGCCUUUGGCUUGUAAGUUUUGCCUAUACCUCAAAGCGAUAUAUAUUUGGAGUGGAGCAAAACUAUGAAGACCUAGUGUAUGGCAGUUUGACUACAUCACUACUUCUUAUAACGUCGACCGCAUAUGCUUCAGUUUAUAUCGCUUUGAAAGAACAGUCGAGAAACAUAACUGAACAAAAUGAGUCCGUGACGAAUGGAAAUCGCGCUGAACAGCUACGUCUGUUAAAGGAAAAGAGAUUUUUGAAAACAAUUGUUUUCAUCGCUGGUAUGACCGUUGCUGGUUUUGUUCCAUCAUGGAUUUUAAAAAUUGCACUCAUCAACAAUAUACUGCCAGGGGAUAGUCUGGUAUGGAUUAUCCUAUAUUUCAUUAUAUUUUCCUUUGUGAGAGCUACUGAGUUUGCAAUUAAUCCACUCAUUUAUAUUCUUCGUUUUCCAAACUACCGAAAAACCUUUCAAAUACUGUAUUGUCGGAGACAAUUUUAAGCUAAUAUAUUU